rnacentral:misc_RNA from 1 species
AACCUAGCACACCUGCGGUGUGUACCUGCGGAAGGAUCAUUACAGAGUUGCAAAACUCCCUAAACCAUUGUGAACGUUACCUAAACCGUUGCUUCGGCGGGCGGCCCGGGCCCUUCCCGGCGCCCCUCGGCCCUCGCGGGCGCCCGCCGGAGGUAAACCAAACUAUUGCAUUGUAUGGCCUCUCUGAGUCUUCUGUACUGAAUAAGUCAAAACUUUUAACAAUGGAUCUCAGAUCGGAAG